rnacentral:rRNA from 1 species
GACAGAGGUGCCGAGCGUUAGGCGGAAUCACUGGGCUUAAAGCGUGUGUAGGCGGGCGGGCAAGUACCUUGUGAAAUCCCACGGCUCAACCGUGGAACUGCUGGGUAUACUGCCUGUCUUGAGCCAGCCAGGGGCGAGUCGGAACAGACGGUGGAGCGGUGAAUGCGUAGAUAUCGUCUGGAACGCCAAAGGUGAAAACAGACUGCUGGGGCUGUGCUGACGCUGAGACACGAAAGCCAGGGGAGCGAACGGG